rnacentral:rRNA from 1 species
AAUUUUCCGCAAUGGGCGCAAGCCUGACGGAGCAACGCCGCGUGAGGGAGGAAGGCCUGUGGGUCGUAAACCUCUUUUCUCAAGGAAGAAGAUUUGACGGUACUUGAGGAAUCAGCAUCGGCUAACUCCGUGCCAGCAGCCGCGGUAAGACGGAGGAUGCAAGCGUUAUCCGGAAUUAUUGGGCGUAAAGCGUCCGUAGGUGGUUUAGAAAGUCAGUUGUUAAAGCCCAUAGCUCAACUGUGGAUCGGCAAUUGAAACUACUAGACUUGAGUGUGGUAGGGGUAGAGGGAAUUCCUAGUGUAGCGGUGAAAUGCGUAGAUAUUAGGAAGAACACCAGUGGCGAAGGCGCUCUACUGGGCCAUAACUGACACUGAUGGACGAAAGCUAGGGGAGCGAAAGGGAUUAGAUACCCCUGUAGUCCUAGCUGUA